rnacentral:rRNA from 1 species
GACGAACGCUGGCGGCGUGCUUAACACAUGCAAGUCGAACGAAGAGCGAUGGAGGCUUGCUUCUAUCAAUCUUAGUGGCGCACGGGUGAGUAACGCGUAAUCAACCUGCCCUUCAGAGGGGGACAACAGUUGGAAACGACUGCUAAUACCGCAUACGAUCUAAUCUCGGCAUCGAGGAUAGAUGAAAGGUGGCCUCUACAUGUAAGCUAUCACUGACGGAGGGGAUUGCGGCUGAUUAGCUAGUUGGAUGGGUAACGGCCCACCAAGGCGAUGACUGGUUGCCGGUCUGAGAGGAGGAACGGCCACCAUGGGACCGAGACCACGGCCAGACUUCUACGGGAGGCAGCAGUUGGGAAUCUUCCGCAAUGGACGGAAGGCUGACGGGGCCACGCCGCGUGAGGGGUGACGGCCUUCGGGUUGUAAAGCUCUUUUAAUCGGGACGAAAGGCCUUUUUGCGAAUAGUGGGAAGGAUUGACGGUACCGGAAUAGAAAGCCACGGCUAACUACGUG